GAAAUAAAUGACAUUAUUUUAUUUUUUUAAGAUCACAUUCACUUAACCACAAGCCAGUUUUACUUAAAUCAGGACUGCCCAAAAAUAUUCUGCCAGCCAUUCAUGAUAUGAAAUCUGGUAUUAGAGAUCAAUUGAAUUAUGGUACACAUUAAA